GGGGCUAAACCAUGCACCGAAGCUGCGGCAGCGACACUAUGUGUUGUUGGGUAGGGGAGCGUUCUGUAAGCCUGCGAAGGUGUGCUGUGAGGCAUGCUGGAGGUAUCAGAAGUGCGAAUGCUGACAUAAGUAACGAUAAAGCGGGUGAAAAGCCCGCUCGCCGGAAGACCAAGGGUUCCUGUCCAACGUUAAUCGGGGCAGGGUGAGUCGACCCCUAAGGCGAGGCCGAAAGGCGUAGUCGAUGGGAAACAGGUUAAUAUUCCUGUACUUGGUGUUACUGCGAAGGGGGGACGGAGAAGGCUAUGUUAGCCGGGCGACGGUUGUCCCGGUUUAAGCAUGUAGGCUGGUUAUCCAGGCAAAUCCGGAUAAUCAAGGCUGAGGUGUGAUGACGAGGCACUACGGUGCUGAAGUAACAAAUGCCCUGCUUCCAGGAAAAGCCUCUAAGCAUCAGGUAACAUCAAAUCGUACCCCAAACCGACACAGGUGGUCAGGUAGAGAAUACCAAGGCGCUUGAGAGAACUCGGGUGAAGGAACUAGGCAAAAUGGUGCCGUAACUUCGGGAGAAGGCACGCUGGUGUGUAGGUGAAGUCCCUGCGGAUGGAGCUGAGACCAGUCGAAGAUACCAGCUGGCUGCAACUGUUUAUUAAAAACACAGCACUGUGCAAACACGAAAGUGGACGUAUACGGUGUGACGCCUGCCCGGUGCCGGAAGGUUAAUUGAUGGGGUUAUCCGUAAGGAGAAGCUCUUGAUCGAAGCCCCGGUAAACGGCGGCCGUAACUAUAACGGUCCUAAGGUAGCGAAAUUCCUUGUCGGGUAAGUUCCGACCUGCACGAAUGGCGUAAUGAUGGCCAGGCUGUCUCCACCCGAGACUCAGUGAAAUUGAACUCGCUGUGAAGAUGCAGUGUACCCGCGGCAAGACGGAAAGACCCCGUGAACCUUUACUAUAGCUUGACACUGAACAUUGAGCCUUGAUGUGUAGGAUAGGUGGGAGGCUUUGAAGCGUGGACGCCAGUCUGCGUGGAGCCAACCUUGAAAUACCACCCUUUAAUGUUUGAUGUUCUAACGUUGGCCCCUGACCGGGGUUGCGGACAGUGUCUGGUGGGUAGUUUGACUGGGGCGGUCUCCUCCCAAAGCGUAACGGAGGAGCACGAAGGUUAGCUAAUCCUGGUCGGACAUCAGGAGGUUAGUGCAAUGGCAUAAGCUAGCUUGACUGCGAGCGUGACGGCGCGAGCAGGUGCGAAAGCAGGUCAUAGUGAUCCGGUGGUUCUGAAUGGAAGGGCCAUCGCUCAACGGAUAAAAGGUACUCCGGGGAUAACAGGCUGAUACCGCCCAAGAGUUCAUAUCGACGGCGGUGUUUGGCACCUCGAUGUCGGCUCAUCACAUCCUGGGGCUGAAGUAGGUCCCAAGGGUAUGGCUGUUCGCCAUUUAAAGUGGUACGCGAGCUGGGUUUAGAACGUCGUGAGACAGUUCGGUCCCUAUCUGCCGUGGGCGCUGGAGAAUUGAGGGGGGCUGCUCCUAGUACGAGAGGACCGGAGUGGACGCAUCACUGGUGUUCGGGUUGUCAUGCCAAUGGCACUGCCCGGUAGCUAAAUGCGGAAGAGAUAAGUGCUGAAAGCAUCUAAGCACGAAACUUGCCCCGAGAUGAGUUCUCCCUGAGACUUUAAGUCUCCUGAAGGAACGUUAAAGACGAUGACGUUGAUAGGCCGGGUGUGUAAGCGCAGCGAUGCGUUGAGCUAACCGGUACUAAUGAACCGUGAGGCUUAACCUUACAACGCCGAAG
rnacentral:rRNA from 1 species